AAUACGUAGGUGGCAAGCGUUGUUCGGAAUUACUGGGCGUAAAGCGCGUGUAGGCGGCUCUUCAAGUCAGGCGUGAAAGCCCCGGGCUUAACUCGGGAACUGCGCUUGAUACUGUCGAGCUAGAGUGUGGAAGGGGCGAUUGGAAUUCCGUGUGUAGCGGUGAAAUGCGUAGAUAUACGGAGGAACACCAGAGGCGAAGGCGGAUCGCUGGGCCAACACUGACGCUGAGACGCGAAAGCUAGGGGGGCAAACGGGA
rnacentral:rRNA from 1 species